AUUGAACGCUGGCGGCAUGCCUUACACAUGCAAGUCGAACGGCAGCACGGGGCAACCUGGUGGCGAGUGGCGAACGGGUGAGUAAUGCAUCGGAACGUACCUUUCAGUGGGGGAUAACGUAGCGAAAGUUACGCUAAUACCGCAUAUUCUGUGAGCAGGAAAGCAGGGGAUCGCAAGACCUUGCGCUGAUUGAGCGGCCGAUGUCAGAUUAGCUAGUUGGUGAGGUAAAGGCUCACCAAGGCGACGAUCUGUAGCGGGUCUGAGAGGAUGAUCCACCACACUGGAACUGGGACACGGUCCAGACUCCGACGGGAGGCAGCAGUGGGGAAUUUUGGACAAUGGGGGCAACCCUGAUCCAGCCAUGCCGCGUGAGUGAAGAAGGCCUUCGGGUUGUAAAGCUCUUUCGGCCGGGAAGAAAUCGCACGGGCUAAUACCCUGUGUGGAUGACGGUACCGGAAUAAGAAGCACCGGCUAACUACGUGCCAGCCGCCGCGGUAAGAC
rnacentral:rRNA from 1 species